rnacentral:lncRNA from 1 species
AUGUGGAGUAGAAAACCUGUAACCCUCACUGAAACUCCAAAGAUUUCCACGAAACCUGCAUAUGAAUAUGCAACAAAGUCAGCAACAUGGGAACCUCCUUAUCCCAAAAUACUGCAGGAUGGAGCCGUUGAAAAUUUCAGACCACAAGAGGUUCAUGAGAAAGUCACCUAUGCUGAGCCUCUAUCCCCUCCCAAUGAGCAGGAGGUUGGAACAACAUCAGGGGACAAAGAAAAUGAAGAGAACCGGAACAAUGUUGGUGUGGAACCUCCCGAGGAAAGAUGCAUCGUAGAGUCAGUUGUCAGUUAUCAGGUUGAGUCUGGCCUCAGCAAUGAGCCACCCUUGAAUGAUGAAGUUAGUCAGCAUCAGUUGACCACACCCAACCUUUUACCAUACCAUGUCAGAAUGAGAGAGGAGCCCUGUGGUUUCUCGGAUGAAUCUGAUAACGAUGUGCCUUUUGAAAUACCUGCUGAAAAAGAAGAGCCGCACGCUCCAAUUGAUGCAUGGGUAGAGAAAGAGUGGAGAGGCAAAGAAGUAGAGCAUGUGCAAGAGGAAACGUCAGACGCUGAAACUGAGGUGGUAAUUGAACCAAACUUUGAAUCAAGGACGAGUAGUCCAGUGUCUGAAUGUGAGCCUGAAGAAAGCUUGUUCAACAAAGUGACAGACUUCAACCGAGAUGAAAACAUCUUGAAGGAGGAUGCAGUCAAGAUGAGGCAAGAAAUAAGUUCUAUAGUAGGAACAAAUGAGACGGAUGUUGAAGAUAUGUUGUACCCGGAUGGAGAAGAGAUGGAUACGUGGGAUAGUGUAAUAGAGAGGAGGGUUGAUGUAAAGACAGAUGAAGGCAUAGAAAAGGAUGAAGAAAAACGACAACACGCUGAACCAGAGGAAGACAUAUCAGCAAGAGAACAAGAGCAUGACAAGAAAGAAACUAGGCAGGAUUUGGUCACUGAUGUAGAGCAAAACGACAACGUGGCCUCUUCAAUGAUGGACACACAAGUAGAUGAUGAUGGACAGCAUGCUGCGCUAGACCAAGAGCAUGCACGGUUUCCUGACAACGGAGAAGACGAUGAAGAGGAAGAUUCUCAAAAUGUUUCCGUGUCAUGGAGAACCGAG